CUUGUCCGUCAAACUGUUUAUUAAACUCCUUCACCUUGAACUUGGCCUUUUGCGGCUCUAUGAUGUCUUCUAACUACUAGGCACUUAAGCUCUGUCCUUGAUGGUGCUAUCAGGAUCCUGUCUCUACUGAGUUUAAUUUUCAGACCCAGCAGUGGCCUUAAGAGGACUGAUGAAAACUUUCCCUUCUCUACAUAGCUGAAAGAGUGAAAUGAACACAGAUGAAGCCCAGAUUCCACACACAGUGAAAUCCAACAGAGCCCACGUCCUUUGAUCUCUGCAGUGACUGGCCUUCUAACUCCUACCUUCGGGCUCCUGUACCCACAGGAUGCAUCAUGGCAUUUCUGCAGACAUUCACCAUUCAAAAGAAGAACCAGGACUUUUGUCAUUGUAACAUUCAGAGGGCUCUUACCGACUUCAUGGAAGCAUGUCUAAUGCAACCAGUGUUGUCAGCACAGAUUUACAGAAUUUGGUUGCUGUGGAAACCCUGGUGGUUAGCUUAUUUGCAUUUACAUGGGACCACAGUGGUUGAGGCUGCCUUCCAGCAUGUUUAUUUUCCUAUUUUCCUCUGCAAUGGAGAGAAAGGAAUUGUAUUUCAAAGAAAUGAUUGGUUGCAAUUCUGCUAAUUCUCCAGACCACAAUAUGAUUUAAAAUUUUAUAAUAACUAUAAAAAA